rnacentral:rRNA from 1 species
UACGAAGGGGGCUAGCGUUGCUCGGAAUCACUGGGCGUAAAGGGUGCGUAGGCGGGUCUUUAAGUCAGGGGUGAAAUCCUGGAGCUCAACUCCAGAACUGCCUUUGAUACUGAAGAUCUUGAGUUCGGGAGAGGUGAGUGGAACUGCGAGUGUAGAGGUGAAAUUCGUAGAUAUUCGCAAGAACACCAGUGGCGAAGGCGGCUUCCUGGACCUGUUCUGACGCUGAGGAGCGAAAGCGUGGGGAGCGAUCCGG